CCUACGGGCGGCAGCAGUGGGGAAUAUUGCACAAUGGGGGAAACCCUGAUGCAGCGACGCCGCGUGAGUGAAGAAGUAUUUCGGUACGUAAAGCUCUAUCAGCAGGGAAGAAAAAAGGACGGUAUCUGAGCAAGAAGCCCCGGCUAACUACGUGCCAGCAGCCGAGGUAAUACGUAGGGGGCAAGCGUUAUCCGGAAUUACUGGGUGUAAAGGGAGCGUAGACGGCAAUGCAAGUCCGGAGUGGAAUGCGGCAGCUCAACUGCCGAACUGCUCUGGAAACUGUAUGGCUUGAGUGGAGGAGAGGUAAGCGGAAUGCCUGGUGUAGCGGUGAAAUGCGUAGAUAUCAGGAGGAACACCGGUGGCGAAGGCGGCUUACUGGAGUGUAACUGACGUUGAGGCACGAAGGCCAGGGGAGCGAAAGGGAUUAGAUACCCGAGUAGUC
rnacentral:rRNA from 1 species